GGUAUGUCUGGAGAACACAACAUUGAGGGAAGAGGUAUAGUGCUGCAUGAGAAUCCGGAUGACCUCGGAGUGGAUGAUGAAAAUGAGGUACGGUACAAUGGGAACGCUGGUGAAAGGGUGGCUUGCUGCACUUUAAAACCAUUAAAAUAAGGUCCAAAGGAGUUGCUUGAAGAAGGCACAAGGUAAAUAAGCAGAGAAUCAUAGACGAGACCAUUAUUUUUAGUACAAUUUACAUGUUUU